GGUCCGUCCUCCCUCGGUGCUCCGGAGUCCUGGCCCCGGCUCCCCGGUGCGCCACGGUCGGCGAAGCGCCUCUGCGUCAGGGCCUCGCUCCCCCGCCAGGUGCGGGGCCUCGGCGCCAUGGACUCGUCGGCGCUGGAGCGGGACGCCGUGCAGUUCGCGCGGCUGGCGGUGCAGCGCGACCACGAAGGGCGCUAUUCGGAGGCGGUGUUUUACUACAAGGAAGCUGCACAAGCCUUAAUUUAUGCUGAGAUGGCAGGAUCGAGCCUAGAACACAUUCAAGAAAAAAUAAAUGAAUAUCUGGAAAGAGUUCAGGCUUUACAUUCAGCAGUUCAGUCAAAGAGUGCUGAUCCUUUGAAAUCAAAACAUCAGUUGGACUUGGAGCGUGCCCAUUUCCUUGUUACACAAGCUUUUGACGAAGAUGAAAAGGGGAAUGUUGAAGAUGCUAUAGAAUUGUAUACUGAAGCCGUAGAUCUCUGUCUAAAAACUUCCUAUGAAACUGCUGAUAAAACUCUGCAAAAUAAACUGAAACAGUUGGCUCGACAGGCACUAGAUAGAGCAGAAGCAUUGAGUGAGCCUUUAACAAAGCCAUUAUGCAAAGUCAAGUCAACCAAUAUUAAACCAAAGCCACCUCCAGCAAGAGCACAUUUUCCACUAGGAACUAAUCCCUUUCUUGAAAGACCUCAGCAAUUUAUAAGUCCACAGGCAUGCGAUGCACAAGGACAGAGAUACACGGCAGAAGAAAUAGAAGUUCUCAGGACAACAUCAAAAAUAAAUGGUGUAGAAUAUGUUCCUUUCAUGGCUAUCGACCUGAGAGAACGUUUUGCCUUUCCAAUGCCUUUCUGUGAUAGAUUGGGCAAGCUACCAUUAUCACCUAAACAAAAAGCUAUGUUUUCCAAAUGGGUACGCCCAGAAGACCUCAGCAACAAUCCUACAAUGAUUUAUACUGUGUCCAGUUUCAGCAUAAAACAGACAAUAGUAUCAGAUUGUUCCUUUGUCGCAUCACUGGCUAUUAGUGCAGCUUAUGAAAGACGAUUUAAUAAGAAGUUGAUUACCAGCAUAAUUUACCCUCAGAAUAAGGAUGGUGAGCCAGAGUAUAAUCCAUGUGGAAAGUAUAUGGUAAAACUUCACCUCAAUGGUGUCCCAAGAAAGGUGAUAAUUGAUGACCAGUUACCUGUUGAUCAUAAGGGAGAAUUGCUUUGUUCUUAUUCUAACAACAAAAGUGAAUUAUGGGUUUCUCUCAUUGAAAAAGCAUAUAUGAAAGUCAUGGGAGGAUAUGAUUUCCCAGGAUCCAAUUCAAAUAUUGAUCUUCAUGCACUGACUGGGUGGAUACCAGAAAGGAUUGCUAUGCAUUCAGAUAGCCAGACUUUCAGUAAGGAUAAUUCUUUCCGAAUGCUUUAUCAAAGGUUUCACAAAGGGGAUGUCCUCAUCACUGCAUCAACUGGAAUGAUGACUGAAGCUGAAGGAGAAAAGUGGGGUCUGGUUCCCACACAUGCAUAUGCUGUUUUGGAUAUUAGAGAGUUCAAGGGGCUGCGGUUUAUCCAGUUGAAAAAUCCCUGGAGUCAUUUACGUUGGAAAGGACGAUAUAGUGAAAAUGAUGUAAAAAACUGGACCCCAGAGUUGCAAAAAUAUUUAAACUUUGAUCCUAGAACAGCUCAAAAAAUAGACAAUGGAAUAUUUUGGAUCUCGUGGGAUGAUCUCUGCCAAUAUUAUGAUGUGAUUUAUUUGAGUUGGAAUCCAGGUCUUUUUAAAGAAUCAACAUGUAUUCACAGUACUUGGGAUGCUAAGCAAGGACCUGUGAAAGAUGCCUAUAGCCUGGCCAACAAUCCCCAGUACAAGUUGGAGGUGCAGUGUCCACAAGGGGGCGCUGCAGUUUGGGUUUUGCUUAGUAGACACAUAACAGACAAGGAUGAUUUUGCAAAUAAUCGAGAAUUUAUCACAAUGGUUGUAUACAAGACUGAUGGAAAAAAGGUGUAUUAUCCAGCUGACCCGCCCCCAUACAUUGAUGGGAUUCGAAUUAACAGCCCUCAUUAUUUGACUAAGAUAAAGCUGACCACACCUGGGACCCAUACCUUUACAUUAGUGGUUUCUCAGUAUGAAAAACAGAAUACAAUCCAUUACACAGUCCGGGUAUAUUCAGCAUGCAGCUUUACUUUUUCAAAGAUUCCUUCACCGUACACCUUAUCAAAGCAGAUUCAUGGAAAGUGGAGUGGUCAGAGUGCUGGAGGAUGUGCAAAUUUCCAAGAGACUCAUAAAAAUAAUCCCAUUUACCAAUUCCAUAUAGAAAAGACUGGGCCAUUACUAAUUGAACUAAGAGGACCAAGGCAGUAUAGUGUUGGAUUUGAAGUUGUAACGGUGUCUGUGGUGGGAGACCCUGGUCCCCAUGGCUUUCAGAGGAAAUCUAGUGGUGACUACAGGUGUGGGUUUUGCUACCUGGAAUUAGAAAAUAUACCUGCUGGGAUUUACAAUAUCAUUCCCAGUACAUUUUUGCCUAAACAAGACGGACCUUUUUUCUUGGACUUUAAUAGUAUUAUUCCCAUCAAGACAACACAGCUUCAGUGAUGGGGAAAUGGCUGCACUUACUGGAUUUUAUACUUACGAAACAAUCAACUCUUCAAAUGAAGACACAAAUCUGCAGGACACUAAACAACUCGCUAUGCCUCCUUCAAGAGAGGACCAUGUGAUCGCAUCGGAAAUCAACAGCACACCCUCGGAUCCCCACUCUCGCAGGCAGGGCAUGGGCAAGACGUUGCCAAAUGCUGCCCCGCUCAGUCAACCAGGUCUGCAUGCCAGUUACGUCACGUUAGGAGAUACCCACAGGGCAGUCCCUGGGACUGCGACGGGGAACAACGGGGCUCCCACAAAUCGUCAAAGCCUCACAUGACUUAGAGGGAAGUCUUCAGAGACCACAGGCUGAGGACACUUUUCGAGACGGUUCCGUGGAGCCCAUCAGCCCCAGGCAAGGAACAGCUCUGUGACCCCCUGGGUGCCACACUCCAUCACUCACUGAACACAGACUGGGCACCACACCUGCCCUUCCCGGCAUUGGCAAUGUGGUCAGGGAGCUGACGCCCCCUGUAACGAGGCGCCGUGGGACGGAGGGAAAUGUGUAGUGAGGAGAUGCGAAGGGGAAACUUUCUAGUAGAGGAAUGGAGGGGACUUCCCUCAAGGAGGAUGGUCCUGAACUGAGGACUGGAGAUGAGGAUGAUUUGAAAAGGGGGGUGGGGGACCGAAGAGGAAACAGAGUGUCUGUAGGAGACUUGACAAAGCAAUUUCAGAAAGGAACCAGGAGGAAAGGCCUUGAAUGAAUGCCAAGCUAUAGCUUCCACCAUCGGCCCGGAGACCUGCCUGCUGUGGACACCUGUGUGCCCUGGAUCACACAUCCACUCAGGUGGCCUCAGCCACACGGUGGAGACAAGGGGCCUGCUCUCCAUAGAACUGACCAACCCACUGAGGAGUGACAAGACAGGGCGACGUUCUGCAACACAACUCACUGCUCCAGACCCCGUGCCUCCGGGCCCAUCCAUGGUUCUCCCCCAUGAGGGCAGCCCUCCUGGGGCCCUCCAUUCACCCGGAUGUGAUGGGGGAAAGGGGGGAGCAUGGGGACCCAUCACUUAAGAGCUGCCCCCACCCUGCACCACCAACUGCCUACAGGCUCAAACCAACACCAGCCACAAUGAUGCAUCCCACAGGAUUCUAGCAUUUUCUAAGAAGAAAUUUGAAUGUGUUCUUAAGGAAAUUUUAGUAUUUCCGUUCAUCGACAUUCAGUUCAUCCCCAGGUCUCCCUGCCUGAAUUACGAAGCUCUUCUUUCCUCAAAUAAAAAGAGAGAUGCCCUCGUGGGGACCUGCAGAAGCGUGGCUUGAAGAAGCAGCCCUGUAGGUUGCUCGGUGAAAAAGAAUAAAGAGGUGUGGCUGCCGUGCCCGGGCCAGCACCUCCUCGCCCACUGCCACGCAUCUGAUGAGCUCCAGUGAGGGAACCAAGUCUCUACAAAGAGGGGAGGGAGGAAGCCCAGCUACAGGGGCCUUGCAGAACAUGCUCUUCAAGUUCCUACUGAAUUUUCGAAGUUUCCAAAGGUUCCUUCCUUCCUGCAUGCUGGUGUCAGAAUUAUGCUGAUCUUGUCAUAGCGUGAAUACUACUAAUACGAAGGUUCGGUCUGCGCUGAACCCACAGACACUCUCCAUCACUUACCUAUUUAUUCAUUCAAGUAAGUGUUGGGCAUGUGUUCUGCACCACUGUCCAUUCUCUCCACACCCUUGGUAACAGGAAUGUCUCCGGGUGAGGCAACGUCCCUGCUGAAGACCCAUUUCCCAGCUGUCACUCAGCUGGUGUCCCUGUCGCUUUUGGCUAAUGAGAUAGAAAUGAACGCUGAGCGGGACUUCCGGGAGGGCCCCUUGUCUCUCCAUGUGGGAUGUGAAUACAAUGGCCGGUGCUUCAACAGCUAUUUUGGACCAUGAGGUAACUCUCUUAAGGAUGGAAAACAGUAAGUUAGGCCUCUGCCCUGGACUGCCUACCUCCUGACUUUUCACAUGACAGAACAAAAUAAGUCUCAUGCUUAAGCCAGUAUGGUUUGGGG